UACGUAGGUGGCAAGCGUUGUCCGGAAUUACUGGGCGUAAAGCGCACGUAGGCGGAUCAGCAAGUUAGGGGUGAAAUCCCGGGGCUCAACCCCGGAACUGCCUUUAAAACUGUUGGUCUGGAGGUCGAGAGAGGUGAGUGGAAUUCCGAGUGUAGAGGUGAAAUUCGUAGAUAUUCGGAGGAACACCAGUGGCGAAGGCGGCUCACUGGCUCGAUACUGACGCUGAGGUGCGAAAGCGUGGGGAGCAAACAGG
rnacentral:rRNA from 1 species